GCCGGGCGAGAGGAGGGAUGGGGCGGGACCGGCAGAGUCGGGGGUGGGCACGGCGGGCGGAACCGUGCGGGGCCCGGAACCGUUUGGCGGCGGCCGCGGCGUGGGACCGUCACAACAACGACGGCGGCCCAGUCAAACCCCCCGCGCUCCAGCCCCGGCGAGGCGAGCCCCGAUCGCGCCCAGGUCCCAUUGGCCGGUUCCGCUUCCGACCUAUGAUGUCAGCGGCCCAGUCUAGGCCUUCGAUUGGCUUGGGGUUCACCUCCAGCCGGCAGGGGGCGAUACUAGGACCCGGCGGGAGUCCGCCCCGGGAACCGGGGAGAAGGCGGGAGGCGGAGCGGGAGUUGUUGGGACCGACGCGAUCUGUGAUCGAUUAUGCGUUAAAGGGAACGCGUCUGUAAGGGAAGGGCUCGAAAGUGAUCCUCCUCCCUCCUGUUACAGACUGGGAAACUGAGGCCCAAAGAGGAAAAGAGACCAGGUAAAUAUCAGCGCUGUAGUUCAAACCCAAGGCUCCUCUCAUUACGUAACACUGCGCAUUCUCCAUCCUCCUCUCUUUCUUCGGUCCUCUAUUUCCCUCCCUCUUUCACCCACUUUCUUUUAUAACUGUUGCCUUCCUUCUUGGAAUCAAUAAUGAGUAUCUGUUCCAGGGUAGAAGAGUGGCAAGGGUGAGGUGCUGGGAAUGAAUGACUUGCCCAGGGUCACAAAGCUGGGAAGUGACUGAGGUCACAUUUGAACCAAGGACCUUCCACUUUCUCUUUCUUCACUCCUACUUCUUCCUCUAAUCCUUCUCCGCUCCUCCUCCUUUCUUCUGCUUUUCUUCCCCUCUUCUAUCUCUCCAUUUUUCCCUCCUCCCUGCCUUCUCCAUUUUUUCUGAUCCUCUCCUCUUUCUUCCCCAUCUCCCCUCCCUCUUCUCUCCACUCACUUCCCCUUUUCCUUUCUCUCUCUCCAACCCUCCACCUGUUCCCCUCCCCCUCGCCUUCCUUCUUUUCUCCAUUCCUCCCUGCUCCAUCUCUUCUCGCUUCCCUCUCAUCAUCUUUUCUCUUAUGUUCUGACAAUCUUCCUUCCUCUCUCCCUCCUUUCUUUCUCUUCCUUUUUUGCUCCUUCCUUCCUUCCUUCCUUCCUUCCUGCCUUUCUUUCUCUCCCCUUUCUCCUCCCCCUCCUCUCUCAGUCUCUGUCUCUCUCUUCGGUCUCCUUUCUCUUUCCUUUUCCUCCCCUCCUCACUCUUCUUCUUUCCUUCUAUCUCUUACUAUUUCCUCUUCUGUCUCUCCCUCCCUCCUUCCUUCUCUUUCUCCCUGUCUCUCACGCUUUCCUCUCCUCUCUCUCCCUGUCUUGCGCUCUCUUCUUUGCUUCCUCUCUGUCUGUCUCUGUCUCUCUCUCAUAUUUCCUCCUUCCUUCUCUCUUUCCUUGCUCUGCUUUCUGUUUCUGUGUCUGAUAGUCCGUCUCUGUCCCUCUUUGUCUGUCUCUAUGCUGUUUUCCUCUGCCCUCUGUAUGUAUCUUUGUUCUCAGUGUCUGUCGCUGUGA
rnacentral:lncRNA from 1 species